GAAAAACUUUGCAUCUGGAGCUAAAAGUAAAUCUGUCCUCUUUUGUCUUUGAAUACUUUACAUCUCUCUCUACUUCCUCUCCUCUCUCCUCUCUCUCUACUUCCUCCUCUCUCUCCUCUCUCUCUACUUCCUCCCCUCUCUCCUCUCUCUCUACUUCCUCCUCUCUCUCUCUCCUCUCUCUCUACUUCCUCCCCUCUCUCCUCUCUCUCUACUUCCUCCUCUCUCCCUCCUCUCUCUCCUCUCUCUCUACUUCCUCCUCUCUCUCCUCUCUCUCUACUUCCUCCUCUCUCUCCUCUCUCUCUACUUCCUCCUCUCUCCCUCCUCUCUCUCCUCUCUCCCUCCUCUCUCUGUCCCUUCUCUCUACUUCCUCCUCUCUCUUGACCUCCUCCUCUCGCUCUCCUCUCUCUCUACUUCCUUCUCUCUCUCCUCUCUCUCUACUUCCUCCUGUCUCUCCUCUCUCACCUCUCUCCCUCCUCUCUCUGUCCUCUCUCCUCUCUCUCUACUUCCUCCUCUCUCUCUACUUCCUCCUCUCUCCUCUCUCUCUACUUCCUCCUCUCUCCUCUCUCUCUACUUCCUCCUCCCUCUCUACUUCCUCCUCUCUCCUCUCUCUCUACUUCCUCCUCUCUCCCUCCUCUCUCUAUCCUCUCUCUCUACUUCCUCCUCUCUCUCCUCUCUCUACUUCCUCCUCUCUCCCUCCUCUCUCUAUCCUCUCUCUCUACUUCCUCCUCUCUCUCCUCUCUCUCUACUUCCUCCUCUCUCUCUCUCUCCUCUCUCUCUACUUCCUCCUCUCUCUCCUCUCUCUCUACUUCCUCCUCUCUCUCUACUUCCUCCUCUCUCCCUCCUCUCUCUCCUCUCUCCCUCCUCUCUCUGUCCCUUCUCUCUACUUCCUCCUCUCUCUUGACCUCCUCCUCUCUCUCUCCUCUCUCUCUACUUCCUCCUGUCUCUCCUCUCUCUCUACUUCCUCCUGUCUCUCCUCUCUCACCUCUCUCCCAUCUCUGUCCUCUCUCCUCCCUCUCUACUUCCUCCUCUCUCCUCUCUCUCUACUUCCUCCUCCCUCUCUACUUCCUCCUAUCUCCUCUCCUUUCUCUCUCCUCUCUCUCCCUCCUCUCUCUCCUCUCAAUUCAUUUCAAUUCAAGGGCUUUAUUGGCAUAGGAAACAUAUAUUUACAUUGCCAAAGCAAGUGAAGUAGAUAAUAAACAAAAGUGAAAUUAACAAU
rnacentral:lncRNA from 1 species